rnacentral:ncRNA from 1 species
UACCAGCCUGGACUGAGGUCCGCGCAUCUGCUAGGAUGCUGGCGUAAUGGCUGUAAGCGGCCCGUCUUGAAACACGGACCAAGGAGUCUAACAUCUAUGCGAGUGUUUGGGUGUCAAGCCCGAGCGCGUAAUGAAAGUGAACGGAGGUAGGAACCCGCAAGGGUGCACUAUCGACCGAUCCUGAUGUCUUCGGAAGGAUUUGAGUAAGAGCAUGGCUGUUGGGACCCGAAAGAUGGUGAACUAUGCUUGAAUAGGGUGAAGCCAGAGGAAACUCUGG